AUUUUCUCUGCUUUGUCUGGGUGCAGUUAUCCCCUGAUGAAUCAAGUGCCGGUGACAUCCACCUGUCCUGGGGACCUCCUAUCAUCCAAGUCCUGUCCCCGAGAGAAAGGUGUGCUGAAUUGGUGUUGGGAAAAGGGACCUGAUCCUGAUGCCCGGGAAGCAGGUGGAGUUUGAAAAGGUGACCUGGGGUUUAUCCAGCUUCAGAGGCAGAAGAGCUUCCUGGAAGAGGAGCCACCCUCGGCCAAGGCAGGAAAAUGUGACGAAAACCCAGCACGUUGGUUGGAUUUCAUUUUGUCUGGCGAACGUCGGGGCCCUGUGAGAUAUGAGGAGGGAGGGGACACAGCGCACCCGUGGGAAGGAUCUUGCCAUCCAGGCUGCAAUUAGUUUACCCUGGGCAUGAGCGGAGCUGGUGGGGGAUGACAGGCGGGAGCAACACACUCAGACUCCAUUUUCUUAGGAUAACUCUGAUAUAAAAAUGCAUAACUAAUUGCUAAUAAAUAAUUUAUCAACAUUU